AUUGAACGCUAGCGGCAUGCUUUACACAUGCAAGUCGAACGAGUGUCGGACGGGUGAGUAAUAUAUCGGUAUGUGCCCCGUAGCGGGGGAUAACUACCCGAAACAGUCGCUAAUACCGCAUACUAUUGGAGCGGCCCAUAUCGGCUUAGGUAGUUGGUGGGGUAAAGGCUCACCAAGGCGACGAUCCCUAGCUGGUUUGAGAGGACGACCAACGACACUGGGCCUGAGACAGGGCCCUAACUCCUCCGGUAGGCACCAGUGGAGAAUAUUGGGCAAUGGGCGCAACCUUGAGACAGCCAUCCCGCUCGUAUGAGAAGGCCUUCGGGUUGUAAAGUAAUUUUAGCGGUGAGGCGGUAUCUGCAGAAUAAGCACCGGCUAACUAAGUGCCAGCCUCCGCGGUAAGAC
rnacentral:rRNA from 1 species